rnacentral:rRNA from 1 species
CAAUAGCGUAUAUUAAAGUUGUUGCGGUUAAAAAGCUCGUAGUUGGAUUUCUGCUGAGAACGACCGGUCCGCCCUCUGGGUGUGUAUCUGGCUCUUUCUUGGCAUCUUCUUGGUGAACGUUGCUGCACUUGACUGUGUGGAGCGCUACCCAGGACUUUUACUUUGAGGAAAUUAGAGUGUUUCAAGCAAGCGCACGCCUUGAAUACAUUAGCAUGGAAUAAUAAGAUAGGACCUCGGUUCUAUUUUGUUGGUUUCUAGAGCUGAGGUAAUGAUUGAUAGGGAUAGUUGGGGGCAUUCGUAUUUAACUGUCAGAGGUGAAAUUCUUGGAUUUGUUAAAGACGGACUACUGCGAAANCANNNGCGAAGGAUGUUUUCAUNGA